GCCAGCAGCCGCAUCACCCUGCAACUCACAACUGGCAGCCCACUGAAGCUCAGCAGGUGUGAGCCUGGUCAGUACCUGGAUGGGAGACCUCCUGGGAAAAACUUAGGUUGCUGCUGGAA
rnacentral:rRNA from 1 species